UCUUACAGAGGUGCAAAGAAAGUGGUUUCUCAAGAUGGAAUCUACUCCUGGUGAAGAUGCUAUGAA
rnacentral:pre_miRNA from 1 species